rnacentral:rRNA from 1 species
UACGAAGGACCCAAGCGUUAUCCGGAUUUAUUGGGUUUAAAGGGUGCGUAGGCGGGUUAUUAGGUCAGUGGUGAAAGCCUGCAGCUUAACUGCAGAAUUGCCAUUGAUACUGAUGAUCUUGAGUAUGAUUGAGGUGGGCGGAAUGUGUCAUGUAGCGGUGAAAUGCUUAGAUAUGACACAGAACACCGAUUGCGAAGGCAGCUCACUAAGCCAUAACUGACGCUGAUGCACGAAAGCGUGGGGAGCGAACAGG